rnacentral:rRNA from 1 species
UACGAAGGGGGCUAGCGUUGUUCGAAAUUACUGGGCGUAAAGGGCGCGUAGGCGGUGUGUCAAGUCAGGCGUGAAAGCCCCGGGCUCAACCUGGGAACCGCGCUUGAGACUGGCACGCUAGAGUUCGGGAGAGGAUGGUGGAAUUCCCAGUGUAGAGGUGAAAUUCGUAGAUAUUGGGAAGAACACCGAUGGCGAAGGCAGCCAUCUGGACCGACACUGACGCUGAGGCGCGAAAGCGUGGGGAGCAAACAGG